GCCUGGGUGGCUUAGUCGGUUGAGUGUCUGACUUUGGCUCAGGUCAUGAUCUCGCAGUUCGUGGGUUCGAACCCCGUGUCGGGCU
rnacentral:tRNA from 1 species